rnacentral:siRNA from 1 species
GCGGUGGUGCUUCAACUCCAUCUC